rnacentral:rRNA from 1 species
CUCGUUGGACCGUCUGCCAGUCAAUUUCAGGUUGACCACGUCGAAUAAGUUCUAGUUAAAAAAAUGAUAAUGACCAUUUUUUACCUAUAUGUCUUGACCAAAUUACGUGCCAGCAGUCGCGGCAACACGUAAAAGACUAGUGUUAUUCAUCUUUAAUAGGUUUAAAGGGUACCUAGACGGUAAAUAAAGCCUAUCAGGGGUACUCAUUUACUAUAGUUUUAUGUGAGAAGGGGAGUACUUUUAAAGUAUAGAUGAAAUUUUUUGAUACUAAUGGGUUACAGGUAAAGGCGAAGGCAACCUUCUAAGUAAAAACUGACGUUGAGGGACAAAGGCUUGGGUAACAAACAGGAUUAUAUACCCCAGUAUUCCAGGCAGACAAUUAUGAAUGUCAUAGAUUAGAUAUUAAUCUAUAAAUGAAAGUGUAAACAUUCCACCUCAAUAGUAAUGUGGCAACGCAGGAACUGAAAUCAUUAGACCGUUUCUGAAACCAGUAGUGAAGUAUGUUAUUUAAUUCGAUGACCCACGAAAAACCUUACCACAAUUUGAAUAAUUAAUUUAAUACAAGAGUUGCACGGCUGUCUUCAGUUAAUGUCGUGAGAUUUUGGUUAAAUCAAUUAAAUUAACGUAAACCCUUG